GGGUCAAGUUUGAUGCAAUGACCAUCGAAAGGGUGUCAUUAGUUUUUAAGAAUGCAUACUUGAGUGCGGUCAGAAGUGGCUUCAAUUUUAGUGCAGUUGGUGAUUCUAAUGAUGGGGCUGUGGGUGUAUCGACUAAUGUGAGUAAUGGCUCAAACUUGAUUAUCUAAGAGGGAGUAGUUUCAGCAUUUGAUAUAUCAACUAAAGUAUUUACUUCUUCACUACCUCCCUCCAUAUCACAAUCAUCCACUCCAAAGUAUGUCAAGUGGGUGUCUCAAAAAUUAUGUGCAAAAAUUAUUGAUGUUGCUUCCUUUAUGA
rnacentral:lncRNA from 1 species